rnacentral:rRNA from 1 species
UACGGAGGGGGCUAGCGUUGUUCGGAAUUACUGGGCGUAAAGCGCACGUAGGCGGAUCAGUCAGUCAGGGGUGAAAUCCCGGGGCUCAACCCCGGAACUGCCUUUGAUACUGCUGGUCUUGAGGUCGAGAGAGGUGAGUGGAAUUCCGAGUGUAGAGGUGAAAUUCGUAGAUAUUCGGAGGAACACCAGUGGCGAAGGCGGCUCACUGGCUCGAUACUGACGCUGAGGUGCGAAAGCGUGGGGAGCAAACAGG